AUCGACUCGACACCAUUUCCGAAUAUCUCAGAUAUUCAUCGACUCCGACCGAGUCCUCCGAUCAUCCACUACUGGACCUCGAUUCGACUCCGACGCCUCGAAACCGCUACUCAACCUCGCCGAUCUGGUCCCCUUGGCCGCGUUCCUCCCUCGAGCAUCUGUGAUCUCUCAACAACACAUACCACCAAGCACAUACCCUCCCCACAGUCCUUCAGACGUCCAUCGUUCAGUGUCGCUCGCGGCGCUGGCAACGGUUCACUCCGCGCUUCUUCCUCUGGCCAAGUCGGAUGACAAUCCUCGAACCUCACAGCAUGGUCUCACUUUUUUGUCCCCGGCGAAGCUACUGUCGAAGUGGAUGCGAUGUUCUGAAGAGCUUAACCCUAAGCGAUUUUCUCGGUUUCCACAAGUCUCGCGAUGUCCUCUACUCCUCAUGUAGAGACAAGCAGCUGGCUUCUUCAACUAGUCUACGCGGACUCUGAUCUUGCACGUCAGCGUAGUUGAUCUUGCAUCGGCGAAAGUGGCGGAAUGGUGAAAGAGGAUGCUGGACGAAAGAGUUGCUGGUCAUGUCCGGUUCUUCCUUAACUCAGCGGCAUCAUGCGUCGGUUUGAUAAGACUUCCGAGGAGGCGCGCGUCGAUGCUGCUGGCUGGACUCUUGCUCUGAUCACGAAUGCACAGUUCUGAUGGACUUCACUGGAAUGGAAUGGGAAAGAGUCGGAUGGAAAGUGUCGGGCAGUGCCAUCAUCGGCGCUGUCUUUAGGAUCUGCAUUGGCUGGAGGUUUCGGGGUGAGGUCGAGGGUAUGUUCGUGGGUGUCUGCAAUACCAGGUGCCGGUCGUUGGGUUUCAAGACUGCUCGAGUCUGCAUCACUAGCACCUUUACUGGUGUCUCCCGUUGGUUUGAUGGCUUCUGCAACAACUUGACUUGAGAGGAACACGGGAAGAGCAUAGCAGUGUCCCUUUGAGGACUUCAGCCAACACACAGACGGCGCGAUCUUGGAUGUUUCAUCAAUCUGGCACCAUCUCACACUCGUCUGAAUCGUGCUCGCAAUAUCUGCAGUACGUAGCGAGGUGAGUGGGCUCACACACAGAGACAUCCAGAUCUGCGCUGUCGACUCGCACGAGUCCGGCAUGCUAUAAGCUCCUGCACUCCUUGAAGACUCGACUGGUCUCGUUGCGUGCAUUGGUCCAUCCUCCAUGACAGGUCGUUCAGCUCUUGCAAUCUCUUGUCUCUCUACACCUCGAUCGGACUUGCAACGCAUCAAAGACCUCACGCCAUUUCUCGGUCAACACCACCACGCUCACCCCUCGGCCGCGAUGCCUGCACACUUCUCCCACCCGCUACACUGCCUUCGCAGAAAGCCAACCACUCUUCACCCCAGCCCAUCCCCAGCCCAAGCCAUCAAAACCCACACCCCAGCACCUCGCUACCGGCGUGGUUCUCUUCUGAGAUUGUCCGAUCAGUCGCGUCAAUCAUCUCCCUCCACGGUCCCCUCGUGGCGGUCGAUCGAUGAACGCCGAACCCCCCACCCCCUUGCCCUGCCUCUGCUUCUCCGCGGACGAGCAGUGCGUCCCUCGCUCCACUUGCGAGAUGGCGAGCGGUUUUUGUAGAUGUACUUUGUCCGCUUGCGCCCGUUGGGGUAUACUGCCUCUCGAAACCUGGCUGCGAAGCUUUUUUUAUGCUUUAACGUCGGGCGGAGAGAUGGAAUUCAAAGACUUGUCUCUGAGUGGGAGUGCUUAUUCACAUACGGAGAGAUCACGAUGCCUGAGGAUUUGGAAUGUGUGCUAAGAACGACUGGUGAAACGAGCUGGUGUGUUUCGGAGAGCUGAAGAUGAGGGUUUGAGAACGAAAGUUGGUGGGUGAGAAGGCGGAUGGAAGGAAGGAGUGAGAUGGUGCGGGUGUUUCACGGCGAUUGCUUUGAAGCUGGACGUUGUUGCAUUGCUGACGAACGAUGGGAUCGGGCUUUGGGACUUCUGACCGCGAAGGCUUUCUGUCAUCUGAUCGGGCGAACUCUAGCUUUUUGCGACUACUGCGAUCGACACUCAGGUCACCGUGCGGGAAACUACGAAUUGGCUGUACUCGCCAGCAAACCGGAUCACAGGCGUGGAGAAGCGGGACCUCUCUCGAGUGAGGAUCAAAGCUUUGGCUUGUCUGUCUUCAAUUGCCUGCCGGUCUGCUCGGCAGUAUGGCUAUUCUUGUGCUCUUGCACGCGUGGUGCUUGUGGAGAGAGACGCUGGCGUGGAAGGCGAUGACGAGAUAGCUGCGAAAGGUGAAGGGAGCUGGAGUUGAAGGCACUAAGGUCUGUGAACGGGAGUUGGAAGUCGAUGCGACAGCAUCCGGUGAGCGGGCGGUCUGCAUACAAAGCGCAGCGAUGCGCUGAGCCGUCUCUCGAUCCUGUGAAGGGGAGAGGACGGCCUUUUUCACUUUUUU
rnacentral:telomerase_RNA from 1 species